rnacentral:rRNA from 1 species
AUACGUAGGUGGCAAGCGUUGUCCGGAAUUACUGGGUGUAAAGGGCGUGUAGGCGGGGGAGCAAGUCAGAUGUGAAAUCCCGAGGCUUAACUUCGGAGCUGCAUCUGAAACUGUUCUUCUUGAGUACUGGAGAGGAAAGUGGAAUUCCUAGUGUAGCGGCGAGAUGCGUAGAGAUUAGGAGGAACACCAGUGGCGAAGGCGGCUUUCUGGACAGUAACUGACGCUGAGGCGCGAAAGCGUGGGGAGCAAACAGGAUUAGAUACCCUGGUAGUCCACGCCGUAAACGAUGGAUACUAGGUGUAGGAGGUAUCGACCCCUUCUGUGCCGGAGUUAACACAAUAAGUAUCCCACCUGGGGAGUACGGCCGCAAGGUUGAA